AUCUUUGAAUGCAUCUUGCGCUCUCUGGUAUUCCGGAGAGCAUGUCUGCUUGAGUGUCAU
rnacentral:rRNA from 1 species